CGGGAAUUUUCCGCAAUGGGCGAAAGCCUGACGGAGCAACGCCGCGUGAGGGAAGAAGGUUUUCGGAUCGUAAACCUCUGUCUUUGAGGACGAUAAUGACGGUACUCAAGGAGGAAGCCACGGCUAACUACGUGCCAGCAGCCGCGGUAAUACGUAGGUGGCGAGCGUUGUCCGGAAUUACUGGGCGUAAAGGGCGUGUAGGCGGUUUUCUAAGUCAGACGUGAAAACUCCGGGCUUAACCCGGAACCUGCGUUUGAAACUGGGAGACUAGAGGACCGGAGAGGGUAGUGGAAUUCCCAGUGUAGCGGUGAAAUGCGUAGAUAUUGGGAGGAACACCAGUGGCGAAGGCGACUACCUGGACGGCACCUGACGCUGAGGCGCGAAAGCUAGGGGAGCAAAC
rnacentral:rRNA from 1 species